AAGAAAAAAUAUAUUUAUACUUACAGUGUAUGGGAUAUACUUCUAUAUUGGAAAUAAAACAGAAAAAAAAAUCCUUACAUUCGUAUGAUUUUUAAAUCGAAGGCUAGGUCAGAUUGCUUUUCAUGCUUGUUUUAUAAGCGAACACGUUCUGUGGAAUAUUACUUGCGAGAGAGUAUUGCGCUUUGCUUUGAUGUAUGUCAUUAUGUGCUCAAUAAGGGGUUGGCACCCGACUGCCUGUGGGCCGUAUACAGCACAAGCAUCCGAACCGGCCAGCCAAAUGUACUCAAUUUUAUUUGUGUCAAGGAGCUGCAAUCAUUUGGAUUUAGAUGUUUUUUUUAAAAGUAGAUAUACAGUAUAGUCUAUGUAAAAAAUGAAUCUGGAUUUAGAUGAUGUUGUCGUGCAACCACUUGAUGAAACAAAAUGGAAUAAAUUCAGCAAACCUUUUUUUUUCAGUGCAUGCAAUUCUAAAAGUACUGUACUGAUCCAGAACAUGUAACCCUUUCGUAUGGCCCUCGGAGGACUUUUAAUGGUUGGAAAAAAGGCGUCGCAAGUGCUGCAUUAGAUGAUUAAAACAUAUCAGUGAACCAAGUGCCUCGCAGUUGCUCCAAAGUCCCGGAAUCCUUCACAAACGUUGACUGAGAUUCACAAGUCGAUGCAAAGUGUGAAAGCUUCACUUGUGAUAUAUGACCAUUGAAGGCGAUUGUUUGUUCUUAAAAAAAAAAAAAAAAGAAGAAGAAUACCGAGAGAAAUGAAA